UCCCUGGUGGCUCAGCUGGUAAAGAAUCCGCCUCCAAUGCGGGAGACCUGGGUUCAAUGCCUGGGCUGGGGAG
rnacentral:tRNA from 1 species